rnacentral:rRNA from 1 species
ACGUAGGGGGCAAGCGUUGUCCGGAUUUAUUGGGCGUAAAGAGCGUGUAGGUGGCCAGAUAGGUCCGUUGUGAAAACUCGAGGCUCAACCUCGAGACGCCGAUGGAAACCAUCUGGCUAGAGUCCGGAAGAGGAGAGUGGAAUUCCCGGUGUAGCGGUGAAAUGCGCAGAUAUCGGGAAGAACACCCGUGGCUAAGGCGGCUCUCUAGUACGGUACUGACGCUGAGACGCGAAAGCGUGGGGAGCGAACAGGA